AUUGAACGCUGGCGGCAGGCCUAACACAUGCAAGUCGAGCGGAUGAAGGGAGCUUGCUCCUGGAUUCAGCGGCGGACGGGUGAGUAAUGCCUAGGAAUCUGCCUGGUAGUGGGGGAUAACGUCCGGAAACGGGCGCUAAUACCGCAUACGUCCUGAGGGAGAAAGUGGGGGAUCUUCGGACCUCACGCUAUCAGAUGAGCCUAGGUCGGAUUAGCUAGUUGGUGGGGUAAAGGCCUACCAAGGCGACGCUCCGUAACUGGUCUGAGAGGAUGAUCAGUCACACUGGAACUGGGACACGGUCCAGACUCCUACGGGAGGCAGCAGUGGGGAAUAUUGGACAAUGGGCGAAAGCCUGAUCCAGCCAUGCCGCGUGUGUGAAGAAGGUCUUCGGAUUGUAAAGCACUUUAAGUUGGGAGGAAGGGCAGUAAGUUAAUACCUUGCUGUUUUGACGUUACCAACAGAAUAAGCACCGGCUAACUUCGUG
rnacentral:rRNA from 1 species